UAGGCUGAGAAGAUUAGUUUAACUUGGCAUCAUGUUCAGCAUGGACAUUGUGGACUGAAGGGCCUGUUCUUGUGCUGUACUGUUCUAUGUUCGAUAUUCUAUAUCUCUACCACGUGAUAGCAGAAAGUAAUUAAAAAUGAAAGAAGGUAAGGACACUGCAUGAGGAUCUCCUGCCGUGACGUUCCGGGUAAGAGAUUUAUAUUAUUUCAUGUGUUAAAUACACUAUUGCUGUGCUUAUUAAUGUCACUCCAUUUUGUGUUAUAAUAUGAUGCUUAACCACUGCAUUAUAUCAGUCUUGUGAUACAUUACUAUGCUAUGUCAGUGGUACAUUAUUAUAAAACAUUGCUACAGUGCUAUAAAGUACUAUAUUACACAAAACUUUCUUCUUGUACUAUAUUACUGCAUGAUAUCACUGGAUAACAUUUGUGUGCCAUGAAGUAUGAUAUUCUGCACUGUAUUUUGUGCUAAUUUACCAUACAUCUAUUAAUUAUUAUUUUGUUACAGUGCUGUACCAUCUGAUAAUGAAAGUACUGCUCUAGUAAUGAUAAGGAUGACACAAAAUCACUGUGGGGUGAAUAUGGAGUGAAGCAAACAUCACCACAGUCAGCACAUCUUCAGUCAGCAGGGUCGCACAGUCCAAAAGUACCCACUGCCCGAUGUAAAGAGAAGCCUCUUUGCAUUCUAGGGAGAGGGGAGUAAUGGAGCCACACGCUACUAGCUGUGUUCUCCUGUUGCACGGUUGAGGAAGACUAAGCCACAGGGCCAAACCCGAAACCGCCAGGACUAUUGUGUGGUCAAGAUUUAUCUGCUUGGAAAGGAGCCCCAGACAGCCAGCACCUCUACCUGAGGCUGAGACUGAGUGGCUGGGAUAAGCCUGAGAUGCCAGAACCUCUUCCCGCCUACAGAUAAUGAAGGAUUGCUUAUCCCCCACAUGCACGCACAGAGGCAAAGACUUAGCCGCCGGGAUAAUCCAGAAACUGUGAAUGUCGCUUCUUCAAGCCCAAAGCUGAGCCGCCAGGAAGAAACCUGAACUGUCAGCACCUCCUCUCGAGGCAAGUGUGAACUGCAGGAAGAAGCCUGAGACUGCCAUGCCAUCCUGUGAAGACCAGCACUAAGCUGCCGGGCCAAGCUGAGACGGCCAGCGUUAUGCGCUCUGAUGGUGAGGGACAGUCUGGGACUUUCUGUAAAUAGAAUAAAUCAUGAGUUCACCCUACUGUGAGUGUCGGUGUGGUCACUGCUGAACCCAGAGUCAGUCCCUGAUGCCACAGUACAUUUUCUAAGUUAUCUUUAUUUGACACAAUUGUGUUAUAUCAGUUAUGAGAAACAAACCUUUAGGCGAGAGCAUCUACUUUCAAUUAUGCAUUGCAUCUAAAUUGCGAAUAAUAAAUGACAUAUAAUCUGGUGUAUAAGUUGCUUCCUCCAUAUUGUGAAUUAUAGUUUUAGGAAAGAACAUUUAUUUGGUUUAAAAUACAUUUAAAAUUUCCCCAGCAUGUUUCAGGACAUAAAUCAGUUAAAAUCUUGAAAUCUUAUUUAUGCCAUUAAGAUAGUACUGUGAUAAUAGAAUCAUAGAGAGUUUAUGGUACCGAAACAAAACAUUCAGCCCAACUUAAAAUGUACCUGCUUUCUGUAAAGAUUCAUUAAAUAUAAGCAAACAUGAAAAUGUAAACGUCAUUAAAUCAUAUCUUAGAAAAUAAA